rnacentral:rRNA from 1 species
UCGAGAAUAAUACGCAAUGGGCGAAAGCCUGACGAUGCGACGCCGCGUGAACGAUGAAGGCCUUCGGGUUGUAACGUUCUGUUGUCCUGGAACGAGAGUGGUUGACGAAUAGUUGAUCAUGAUGAGGGUACAGGAAGAGGAAGCACCGGCUAAUUCCGUGCCAGCAGCUGCGGUAAUACGGAAGGUGCAAGCGUUAGUCGGAAUUACUGGGCGUAAAGGGUGCGUAGGCGGAGAUGUAAGUCGGAUGUGAAAUCCCGGGGCUCAACCUCGGAACUGCAUACGAAACUACAUCCCUUGGGGAAUGGCGGAGAAAAUGGAAUUCCAUAUGUAGCGGUGAAAUGCGUAGAUAUAUGGAAGAACACCUGUGGCGAAAGCGGUUUUCUAGCCUUCUCCCGACGCUGAGGCACGAAAGCAAGGGGAGCAAACAGG